ensembl:lncRNA
CAGCCCUCUGACAUGGGGACAAUGUGAAGGGAGGGAGAAGCAGAGUGUGCCAGGACGUCUACUUCCACAUCUACGGUGAGGAAGGCCGGUCUCCACAUUCACCAGGGAUUAACAUCGGAGCAUUAAGCCAGACCCUGAAAAGACAUAAACCACGAGUUCAUGCGCGGGGCAGCGGCUAGUUUAAAGAAGAACUUUCCUGCGUGAAGAAUGAAAUAGUUCCUUCCCGACCCCGCCCCCCUCAACGACAUUUACUCCCGCAACUUGAAGAGCGGUUACUGGUCACUGAAGCCUGCCAGCUGCGGGAGAGUCCAAACCCAGACCUGCCGCCGCUCUCAGGGCAUGGAAGGCACAAGUGAGCGAAGGCUGUUCCGCUUCCUUUCCGUGCUCGUCUUCUAAAGAGGGCGAGUCAUCCCAGGCCCCCUCCUUCCUUCAACUUCUUUCUCUUCCAAAGCUCAAAGUGCGGCAGGAAAAGCAGCCCUGAGGGCACGCCUGGAGGAACCAGAGGAUGGAGCCCAGAGCAAUCAAGUUCACUGAAGAGUGAAGGGUGAAUCCUGGAAAGGACAGAGCCAGAGAAGAGGAACCCAACAUUCUUCCCAUAAACUCUGCCCAAGGCUCUGAUUCACGCCGGACCCGCACACGAGCAGGGUAAACUGCAGGUGUCCCAGCUAAAGAUGAAAAGAAACGGAACCCGGAGCAAUCGCCUGCUGCAGAAUAAAAUAGAAUCCAGAAUCUCCUCAGCAUAACCUUCAAAAUAUUCAGAAUAUGCUCCAAAAUUAGUCAGCAUACAAAGAACCAGGAAAAUGCGACCCAUUCUUCAGGGAAAGCAAACAACAGAGGCCAAUCCUAAGAUAACUCAGAUGUUGGGGUUAUCAGACAAGGAUAUUAAAGCAGCUAUUACAACUAUGCUCAAGGAUAUAAAGAAAAACAAUUUAUAAUAAAUGAACAGAAAGGAAAUCACAGCAGAAAAAUAGAAAAUAUAAAAAAGAACCAAAUGGAAAUUUUAGAACUAAAUAUAUGGAAUAAAAAAAAAAUCUCUGGAAGGGCUUAAUGGCCAAAUGAAAAUCCCAGUCGAAAGAGAAAAUAAACUUGAAGAUGGAUCAAUAGAAAGUAACCAAUCUGAAAAAAAGGAAAAAGGUUGGAAGGAAAGAAAGAUAACAGAGCCACAGAGACCUGUGGGACAAUAUCAAAAUAUUGUCUAAUAUAUGGAUAAUUGGAGUCACAGAAAGAGAAGAAAGAAAAAAUGGGACAGAAAAAAAUAUAUAUUUAAAGGCUUAUGGGAAGGAUCCAGUUGAGAGGAAGAGGUUGAAUAUAUAGGAAAGAUAACAGAUCACAAAUAGUAGAUAUUUUUAUAGACGGAGGGAAGGGAUGGAAUCCAAAGUGUAAGUGUAGAGAUUUGGCUAAGGCAGAAAAGAUGAUAGCACUUGUAAUUGCAAUAGGCGGGGAGAGAGGAUAGGAUGGGAGCAAACAUAGGCGGAUUUGUGUCUGAGAUGAGAAUUUUCAUUUGACAACUUCUAUUUUCCCUCUUAAAGGGAGAGAGCUUGAGCGAUGGUUAGAGAGACAGAAGGGCAUCUGCUGUGCGUGGAGUUGUAAAGGAAGGCCAGAGGUUUGAGAUAAUCGCUGUGAGACAGUGAGUUCAUUGUAGACACUUGACAGGGUUCCCUAGGUGUCCUGAGGGCCCGUUUGAACAUAGUAACCAUGAAUUUCUGUAGAACAAAUACACCCUGUUGUGUGACUUUCCCAGAGGCUGCGUGAGUGCAAGCAUGGUGAUUUGAAUAGUUGGGUCCAUCCAUGGCUGGAAUUUUGCUAGAUGGGUGUGACAAAAUGACAAAGGAUCAAGGUUAGGG